rnacentral:lncRNA from 1 species
CCUCCCUUCGGCCUUCCACUGCUCUUACAGUGCCAACUAUAAUUAAGCACUGCUACUUCCACCUUGAUUUCCAUGAGCCCAGUAAGGUUUAGCAGGGGUGCGUCGCAAUGCCCUCACUCCCAAUGGGUUGUCCUUGCUCUGUUGCAGAAAAUUCAAGAAAGCACAUAAGAAAAAUAAAAAAAUAAUCAAAAAGAGAAAACCAGGACUGCUAAAUUUAAACUUGAAAGCUCAAAAGAAAAACAUCAAACGAUUUCUUAAUAAUAUCAUGCAAUGCAACCAAAUAGCUUGAAUUUAAAACAUGAAUAUCGAAAUAUUUGCCCAUUGGUCUUUGGCACACUGCUGCAAAGCCUAGAACAGCCCAGCGUACCAGCAAAAUUUAGCAUAUCUUACCAUCAAGCAGGUCCCAGCACGAACAUUACAGAUGGGAUAGUCAUGUGGGCAGCAGCUAUAGUGGUCAUCACAGCAGGUGGCAGCCUCAAGCGGGCAGCAUCCCCAUGCAAAGCAAGAGUUACCAUACUCAAAGACACAGCAGCAAGUGUUGCUCUCAGGGCAAGAGUAAUAAUUGUCACACACAGCAGGAGGCUUUGUUGGAGAUGGAGGAGACGGUCCGGGGUUGGGAGGAUUUUGGCCUUUCUUUAUGGGAUAUGAGGCCUCCAUGGCAAUUCCACACUUGCCCGUGAGAGUGCCAGCCACGUUACGCUCCAUCCUAAUAUAGCCACCCUCUCCCCAGCUACUGCCCCAUGAAUUCUUCACAAUCCA